AUACGUAGGGGACGAGCGUUGUCCGGAAUUACUGGGCGUAAAGGGCGCGCAGGCGGAUAUUUAAGUCAGCUGUAAAAGGCAUGAGCUCAACUCAUGUAUGCGGUUGAAACUGGGUAUCUAGAGUGCUGGAGAGGUAGGCGGAAUUCCCGGUGUAGCGGGGAAAUGCGUAGAUAUCGGGAAGAACACCAGCGGCGAAGGCGGUUUGCUGGCUGCAUACUGACGCUGAAGCGCGAAAGCCAGGGGAGCAAACGGGAUUAGAUACCCCGGUAGUCCUGGCAGUAAACGAUGUAUGCUGGGUGUGAGACUAGCGAUAGUUUCGUGCCGAAGUUAACGCGAUAAGCAUACCGCCUGGGGAGUACGGUCGCAAGAUUGAAACUCAAAUGAAUCGACGGGG
rnacentral:rRNA from 1 species